UACAGAGGGUGCGAGCGUUAAUCGGAAUGACUGGGCGUAAAGGGUGCGUAGGUGGUUCAAAGCGUCUGCUUGUGAAAGUCCCGGGCUUAACCUGGGUUGGACAAAAGAAACGAUUGAACUCGAGUCAAGCAGAGGACGGCGGAAUUUCCGGUGUAGCGGUGAAAUGCGUAGAUAUCGGAAAGAACACCAGUGGCGAAGGCGGCCGUCUGGGCAUUGACUGACACUGAGGCACGAAAGCGUGGGGAGCAAA
rnacentral:rRNA from 1 species